UACAGAGGGUGCAAGCGUUGUUCGGAAUUAUUGGGCGUAAAGCGCGUGUAGGCGGGACGGCACGUCUGUCGCUGAAAUCCCCCGGCUCAACCGGGGAACGGGCGCGGAUACGACCGUCCUGGAGGGGCGUAGGGGGACCUGGAACUUCCGGUGGAGCGGUGAAAUGCGUUGAGAUCGGAAGGAACGCCCGUGGCGAAAGCGAGGUCCUGGACGCUUACUGACGCUGAGACGCGAAAGCCAGGGGAGCGAACGGG
rnacentral:rRNA from 1 species